GCACGCAGUGAGACAUUUAAGAGAUGUGUUACUUCUUUCACAUACAUGAAUAAUUUUCAGUAAAAGUCAAAGUGUGAAUAAUUUAUUUUCUCCACCGACUGGAAGCCAACCGUUUGGAAAACCACUCAGAAGAGCUGAGGUUAAACGGCACGUGAAAUCCGAGUCUCCACGGAUUACCCAGCAGGGAAGCGUGGGCGAUUCCGCUCGGAGGAUUUGUGUGGGAUCCCACUUUUGGGGGUAAAACAAACACAAAUGCUCCUCCCCCGAGGGGCGGGGCGGCGCCCGGCGGAUGCACCAAUCACAGCGCGCCCUGCCCUAUAUAAGGCCUUGAGGCCCCGCGGCGUUUGACGCCUUUCGGUGGUCGCCCCCAGCUGGUCUUCGUGCGAUGUCGGAGACGGCUCCGGCGGCCGCAGCUGACACGGCCCUGGUCUCUAUGGAGAACUCUCCCGCUAAGAAGAGAGGGAAGAAGCCGGUGGGCCGGCCAGGCGCUAGUCGCAAGGCCCCGAGCCUGCCCGUGUCCAAGCUGAUCACGGAGGCUCUCUCCGUGUCCCAGGAGCGAGCAGGCAUGUCCCUGGCCGCGCUCAAGAAGGCGCUCGCGGCCGCCGGCUACGACGUGGAGAAGAACAACAGCCGCAUCAAGCUGGGCCUCAAGAGCCUGGUGAGCAAGGGCACCCUGGUGCAGACCAAGGGCACCGGCGCCUCGGGCUCCUUCAAGCUCAACAAGAAGGCCCUUCCUGAGCCCACCAAGAGCAAGCUCAAGAGGCGGUUUUCUGCUAAGGCGAAGAAGCUGGUCUUAUCCAGAGACUCGAAGUCCCCGAAAGGUGCCAAGACCAGCAAGAAAGCCAAGAAGGCCAGGGCGACGGCAGCGCAGAAAGCGGCCAGGAGCGGCAGGAAGGCGACGGGAGCCAAGGGCAAGCAAGCACGGAAGAGCCCGGGGAAGGCCCGAGCAGGGAAGCCCAAGCUGAGCCAGCAGAAAACGAACCCAAGGAAAGCGGCGUCCAAGAAUUGGGGAAGAGAACCAGACUCCCAGGAGCCCCGGGAACACGCCAGGGUACCCCCAGGCCACUUAGUGGCAUCUGUUUUACCAUCUUUAAUACGACAGACAGUCGCUCCGGUUCCUGGAGGGAAAUGCCACCCGGCUUCUGACUCUGGAGGCGCGGGUAGAACAAAAACACUGUGGGGUCCAACACAUCCACUGAGGGACACCGCCGAUCCCCGUCCGGACCCAGGGCCCGAGAGACGCGCCAGACAGAGCCGACUGGGGUGGCAGCAGAGUAAGCCGGCCACACGCUGGAUUUCUUUCCGCAGAGACUUCGAAAGGAAAUGGCUGAGGUUAUUUUCUGCUGUUUUCCCUUCGCUUUGGUCAAGCUCGCUGAGAAUGAAGACACUGGGGCCACAGAAGAGCCGUGCCACCCCCCCCAUUUCCUGGCACAUCUAAAGCAUCUAAUGCCACGGCAUGUGAGAUGGAUCAGAGUCAGACUGACUGAGCUGAAACCUCUCUAGCCCUGGAAGGCUGUGAGAUACUCCCUACUUCAUUUUGUUCACCUAAAAAACCCAUGAGGAUAAUAGUUCUUAUAUCAGAGAAUUACGGAAAACAAUUCAUUCCUGCUCCCGGGGCGGAAGCUGUGUCCCCAAAGAGAAAAAGAGGAACAGGCUUCUUUCGGAUGGACACCAAAUCCCCUUCGCCCUCCCUCAGCCCGCUUCCUGCUUCCUGAUGCAUUAGUGUGUCCUGGGGUCAGAGGAACUGAGAGACUUCCUCCUUCUUCCUACUCACUCGAAGCCUGCCUUUUCCUUAAGAUUCUGAACAGAAUUCCAAUAAAAAAGAGGAUGACGCAGACAGCGAUCCCACCGAUGACUCCAGUGAGCAGGGUGCCAGGCACUGGGGGUUCUAAAACAGCAAAAGCAAGUGAAAGCUGGGACUGUGACCCCAGCCCGGCUCAGACCCUCCCCUCACUGCCAUGCUGACCCCUCUGGUUCCGCCCACAACGGACUUUUCCCACCCCCCUCCCCAGCUCCCAUCCGUACCCCAGGAGGCAGUGAGGGGCUGAUCCAGGCCUGGGUGCUCCACCUGGCAGGUGUAUCUCCGCUCUUCCCCAGGGGGCACGGCCAGUGCCACCCAGCCCUGGUAGGUCCCAUCCCCGUUGGGCAGCACGUCUUUCAGCUCAACGUCCUUGGCAUCCAGGGGCUGCCUGUCCUUCAGCCACUUCAUGGUGAUGUUCCGGGGGUAGAAGUUCAGAGCCUGACACUGUAGGGUGCUCACCGCCGAGGCCACGUGAUGGGUCACCUUCACCAAAGGAGGCACUGGACAGGAAGGAGGAAGGAUCUGUAGAGGGGAGCUUUCUACCCUUGCCAAGAAGACUGGAACUUUCACUUCCCUUUCUCUACGGGCUGGAGGAAGAAGCCAACCCUAGGCCGAUGCUGCUGCGUCAGUCACCAUACUGUGUCCUAAACCAUGUCGCAGGACUCAGCUGCGAUGGGGUGCUGCAUGGUAGAUAGUCAAGCCCAUGCUCCUGUCCCGUAUAUAAAUAUGCAUACCUGCAUCUCGUGGCUUCUGUCCUUUGUCAAUACAGUAAAUGGAAUCGGACGAAAUUCCCCUGUAUGUGGAUUUGAUUGACUAAGCCCUAUUGGUUCAUUCUACCUGGCUCAGCCCAGUAAGGAUUCUUGUAAGAAGGGGCCCUGGAAGAUUGGAAGCCCUCAGGGACUCUCUCUCUGUUCUGUGAAAGUAACCUUUAACCUCCAAACGAUUCUGCUACUCUGCCUGGUUGCCUCCUUUGGUAAUUGCUUGGCUUGGCAUUCAUGUGAUAAUUGACAUCUCUGAAAUUCCUAAAAGGUAUAAAUAUACACCGGGUUCUCAGUUAAAUCAAAAGAUUGCAGAUACGUCUUUGGCCACAUGUAGGGAGAAAAAAAAAAAACACCCUAAAACCAUGCCCCUGGGCUGGGUCCUACAUCUCAGUUAUAAGGUGGAGACCUCAGACCUCAGCGCCUUCCCCGAGAGUCACGUGACCCUGGCCCCCUGGGAAAGUGCAGCCCGGACCUCGCCCGGCACCUGCGGACGCUGCCGCAUCGGGAGAGUCUGCGGGCAGACGGAGCGCUCCCACCAUACCUUGCCGGUCCAGGGCCCCUCUCCCCAGCUCCAGCAAGCGCUGCAGCUGCUCUGGGCAGUCCCUCUCGAGGUAGGCCCUGUUCUGUUUGGCUCGAAUCUUGUUCACUUCCCACUCCAGCUUGGUGGCCUGGGCCUUGGGCUCUGCUGCUCUCCAGUCCAGCGUCUCAGGGCAGAAUUCCAGAUGGUUCUGCCCGUCGUACCCGUACUUCCAGAAUCCCCUGGUGCUGUUGUCCUCUUGCACCUCGCAACCCAGGAUCACUUGCAGGGUGUGGGACUCUGACAACACCCCGAGCUUCGUUACUGAAACCAAAGGAGUAAGUCCCUGUCUCAGCAUCCAUCCCCAGGGACCCCAGGACCUCAGACUCCUGCCCUCCUCCCCCAGGACCUCAGACUCCCUGCUUGCUCACCCAGAGCCAUCUUCGAGCUACAGGAAUGCGCUCUGCCCACCUCGGAAAGGAGAGCGCCCUCUCCACGUACCCUUGCUAUGGUUGUGAUUGUCCAUGAUGGUCCAGAAGUCGACGAUGAACAUGUGAUCCCACCCUUUCAGGCUCUGACUCAGCUGCAGCCACAGCGGGCUGGCGGCCCUGCCCUGGACCCACUGGGCGCGGGGCUCUGCACGGCGACUCUCGUGACUGUAGGACACGAAUAGCUGGUCGUCCACGUAGCCCAAGGCCUCAAACAGGGGCAGCCCAAGGUCCGGCACCGAGGCGCCCAUGAAGAGGUAGCGCAGGGAAUGGGACCCUGGGGAGAAGGCAAGAGGACAGCUCUGUGAGCUGCAAGUGGGGUGGGGGGGCGGACGGGCCACAGCCCUGCUGGAUCAAACUCACAGCACCAGCUGUGUCUGGGCCCACCCCACUGCACGUGCGCUGCAGGGCCUCUCCGCCCUCCGCCACAGGCCUGGGUGCUCUCGCCCCCCCGGGGGGCUGCCACCACCCCCCUCGGAGCUCCCAGCCUCUGCCCCACUUCCCACAUUUAGGGCAAUCUCCCCUGCAGCCCACAAACUCUCAGAUCCCAAGGGUCUCUCGCUGGGGCAGCCGAGCUCAGGGGUUGAUGCUCAGGGCGAAUUGGAUCCAAGUGCUGAGGAAUUCACUGUUGGGUUUUUUCCACGACUCCCGUCUCUAAACCCUUUCCUGUGUAAAUGUUUGUCGUGAAAUGCUGGCAGAUCUGUUGAUCCAUAACUAAGACACUUUCAGAGCAAACACGGAAGAAGCUCCGGUAAGAGCAAGUGAGAGUUUCCCUUCCUUCCGCUGAUGAACGCCCAAGGCCUAGAACAGCUCCUGGCAUGUACUAGGGGCUCAGUACAUGCUUGUUAGAUGGAUCGAUGACGACUCCUUGGUUUUCAUCUCUGGCCCUGAACUCCAGAUUCUUACGCCCAACUGCCGACAGGACACCACCAGUUGGAUGAGGAAUUGGAAAAAUCAAACUUAAGUCUAACUCUUGAUUUCCCCCAAGCUGCUCUUUCUUCUGCCUUCCCCAUCUCAGAAAUGGCAUCACCUAUCACCCCAUUGCUCAGGCCAAUAAAACGUUUAAAAUAAUAAAAUAAUUUUUAAAGAA